AGAAUCAACGCUGGCGGCGUGCCUAACACAUGCAAGUCGCACGAGAAAGGGUAGCAAUACCUGAGUACAGUGGCGCACGGGUGAGUAACACGUGAAUAAUCUACCUCCGAGUGGGGAAUAACUGAGAGAAAUCUUAGCUAAUACCGCAUAAUACCCACGGGUCAAAGCAGCAAUGCGCUUGGAGAGGAGUUCGCGGCAGAUUAGUUAGUUGGCGGGGUAAUGGCCCACCAAGACGAUGAUCUGUAUCCGGCCUGAGAGGGCGCACGGACACACUGGAACUGAAACACGGUCCAGACUCCUACGGGAGGCAGCAGUGGGGAAUUUUGCGCAAUGGGGGAAACCCUGACGCAGCAACGCCGCGUGGAGGAUGAAGCCCCGUUGGGGUGUAAACUCCUUUCGAUCGGGAAGAUAAUGACGGUACCGAUAUAAGAAGCCCGGCUAACUUCGUGCCAGCAGCCGC
rnacentral:rRNA from 1 species